AAGCGGAGGAAAAGAAACUAACAAGGAUUCCCCUAGUAGCGGCGAGCGAAGCGGGAAGAGCUCAAAUUUGUAAUCUGGCACUUUCAGUGUCCGAGUUGUAAUCUCGAGAAGUGUUUUCCGCGCUGGACCGCAUACAAGUCUGUUGGAAUACAGCGUCAUAGUGGUGAGAACCCCGUACAUGAUGCGGAUGCCCAGUGCUUUGUGAUACACUUUCGAAGAGUCGAGUUGUUUGGGAAUGCAGCUCAAAUUGGGUGGUAAAUUCCAUCUAAAGCUAAAUAUUGGCGAGAGACCGAUAGCGAACAAGUACCGUGAGGGAAAGAUGAAAAGCACUUUGGAAAGAGAGUUAACAGUACGUGAAAUUGUUGGAAGGGAAACGCUUGAAGUCAGACUUGCGUAUUGGAUUCAUCCAGUUUGCAGGCCAGCAUCAGUUUUUGGGGGUACAAAAGGGUGAGAGGAAGGUAGCAGCUCCGGCUGUGUUAUAGCCUCUCACUGGAUGCACCUUUGGGGACUGAGGAUCGCAGCGUACUUUUUGCAAGACCUUUGGGUUUUUCUACGCUUAGGAUGCUGGUGGAAUGGCUUUAAACGACCCGUCUU
rnacentral:rRNA from 1 species